rnacentral:lncRNA from 1 species
AUUUCUUAAUGUAAAAAACUUUAUUGCUAUUUCAGCUUAAAAGGUGAUCAAAAAUAUUUAUUCUUGCCUUAACUCAUAGCUUCAUAUUUGUCAUGGAAUGUGAUUUCACUUAUCUUCCCCUAAAGCAAGAAAAAGCAGAAAAAUCCUAAAGGUGCUCUUGGUUAAGAAACUAAUUCUACAUACAAGUUAGAGAAAAUUACAGUUUCAUGCUAAAAUAAAGUACUUAUAAAAUAACAGGUAUUCCAUUUUAAAACAAAGCCAUGAAAAAGAUAUUCCAGAACUCACUGUCUGGAUGACCUCCACUGGCAACAGUGAGAGAAAACCCUAUAGCGUCUGGGAGAAGUGCAUGAAAUUUAGAAUACAAGGAGCUUAUGUGUGAUUGAAUGG